UCCCGCCGGACCUGAGCGACCCGGUCGGGUCGGGGCGCACGCGCGGAAGCCGCGCUCGGCUCCCGGCGGUCCGCAGAGGAGCCGCACCCGAGCAGCCCGGCCCCGGCCUCGCCGCGCAGAGCCUUACCCGAAGCCUCGUCCUGCGACAGGUGGUCCUGCGGACGCAGCCCUGCCGCCCGCCCCACGAUGUUCAGCCCCGGGGCGGCUGGUCCUGCCCUCCUUACCCCCGAGCUCCCAGAAGCCCGCGCCAGCUCAGGCUCACCCUGGCGUGGACCGCCGCACAAACCUCAAGGGAGCCAGGAAAGCGGGGAGAGCCGGCGCGGCCCUGGGCGGACGGACGGGCGCGCGAACCAAUGGGAGGCAGGGACCCUGCGGGGGGCGGUGCCUCGAGCACCUUCCUCCUUUCGGUUGGUUUCCUCCUGGUUAACUGUUCGGGGGCCGCGCGCGCGCCCCGAGUGGACGCGACCCGGAGACCUCGGAGAGCCUAGCAGAGUUGGAGGACUUUAGAGGCAGGCAGCUCUGAGGAAGAACCGAGUAUUCCUUAACGCGGUCCUUCCCUCGGCGCACUCCCGGCUUUGGCUUGGGGAGGGGGGUGGCGAGGCAGGGCUGCGAGUUCGCGCGAGGGCGCGCUCUGCGCAGGCGCGAGCGGGGUGUCGGCGGGUACCAGUCUCGGAAUCCAAGGAGGUUAGAGAAACUGCUGGGAUUGGGUCCAUCCUGAAGGCCCUUGGAAGAAGGGAGAGGAUGGAGGAGAGAUUUAAGAGCUGGAUACAAGCUACAGUUUGACAAGAUACAAGAUCCACAACAAAACAGGCAACCAAUGCAGGUGCUGUCUCUGCCCGACAAAAGCCAGUGCUGUCUCGGAUAGAACACAGAACACAGACUGGGAUGUCCCCAAAAUAGAGAUAACGACCAGAAAGUACAGCAUCUUUUCAAUGCCAAGUCACCUGAAAAUAUACAUCUGCCUUGAAUAUUUGCUCUGACCACUGUAUGUGAUAGAUGUGCCAGACUUCUCUUUCCAAUGCCCUAUAAAGCUUCCUGCCUUUUCUUUGUUUGGGACUGACGGCCUCUUGCUUGCUGUCAGUCCACCUCUGCCCAGGUGAAUAAAGUCCGUACCUCUU
rnacentral:lncRNA from 1 species